AUUGAACGCUGGCGGCAGGCCUAACACAUGCAAGUCGAGCGGUAGAGAGAAGCUUGCUUCUCUUGAGAGCGGCGGACGGGUGAGUAAUGCCUAGGAAUCUGCCUGGUAGUGGGGGAUAACGUUCGGAAACGGACGCUAAUACCGCAUACGUCCUACGGGAGAAAGCAGGGGACCUUCGGGCCUUGCGCUAUCAGAUGAGCCUAGGUCGGAUUAGCUAGUUGGUGGGGUAAUGGCUCACCAAGGCGACGAUCCGUAACUGGUCUGAGAGGAUGAUCAGUCACACUGGAACUGAGACACGGUCCAGACUCAUACGGGAGGCAGCAGUGGGGAAUAUUGGACAAUGGGCGAAAGCCUGAUCCAGCCAUGCCGCGUGUGUGAAGAAGGUCUUCGGAUUGUAAAGCACUUUAAGUUGGGAGGAAGGGCAGUAAAUUAAUACUUUGCUGUUUUGACGUUACCGACAGAAUAGGCACCGGCUAACUCUGUG
rnacentral:rRNA from 1 species